rnacentral:rRNA from 1 species
AAAUCUCAGUUCAGACUGCAGGCUGCAACUCGCCUGCACGAAGUCGGAAUUGCUAGUAAUCGUAGGUCAGCAUACUACGGUGAAUACGUUCCCGGGCCUUGUACACACCGCCCGUCAAACCAUGAGAGUUGGCAACACCCGAAGUCGGUAGUCUAACCGCAAGGAGGACGCCGCCGAAGGUGGGGUUGAUGAUUAGGGUUAAGUCGUAACAAGGUAGC